rnacentral:rRNA from 1 species
AGUGAACGCUGGCGGCAGGCCUAACACAUGCAAGUCGAGCGGCAGCGCGUCCGACCACCCUCGGGUGGUCGGAUGGCGGCGAGCGGCGGACGGGUGAGGAAUGCAUCGGAAUCUGCCUCGUUGUGGGGGAUAACGUAGGGAAACUUACGCUAAAUACCGGCAUACGACCUACGGGUGAAAGUGGGGGACCUUCGGGCCUCACGCGAUGAGAUGAGCCGAUGCCGGAUUAGCUAGUUGGCGGGGUAAAGGCCCACCAAGGCGACGAUCCGUAGCUGGUCUGAGAGGAUGAUCAGCCACACUGGAGCUGAGACACGGUCCAGGACUCCUACGGGAGGCAGCAGUGGGGAUAUUGGACAAUGGGGGCAACCCUGAUCCAGCCAUGCCGCGUGUGUGAAGAAGGCCUCGGUUGUAAG